UACCAGUAAUGUGGCCCUCUAUUCAGUUGCUGUCUCUUGGUAAUUCGACGUUCCUCCUCGGCCCCUUGUUCUUGGUAAAAUGUGAUACCGGCUCAAGCCAGUUUUCCCCACGGCGGUGCUCUGCCAGAUCACGCCACCACUGAGAAGCAGCCUUAUGUCAUCCCGUAAACGCCGGCACCGGCACACCUGCUAAUUAUCAUCUCCAGCUGGUCGAACAUCUUCAGUGACCAGCAGGUUUGGCCCUUAACCCCAGAAGACGCUCCAGGGUGCCAGAUGAACGGACUGACCCUGUGCUCGGACCCCAGAGCGAGAUGGGAUAUGCUCACACUAAAGCCUUCCGAAGUACCUGACACCCGUAGUUGUACAAAUUAAAA